rnacentral:rRNA from 1 species
UACGGAGGGUGCAAGCGUUGUCCGGAUUUAUUGGGUUUAAAGGGUGCGUAGGUGGUUUGAUAAGUCUGACCUGAAAGUGGGCCGCUUAACGGCACAGGGUGGUUGGAUACUGUCGAACUUGAAUUAGGCGGAGGUUGCCGGAACGGAUGGUGUAGCGGUGAAAUGCAUAGAGAUCAUCCAGAACGCCAAUUGCGUAGGCAGGUGCUACGCCUAUAUUGACACUGAGGCACGAAAGCAUGGGGAGCAAACAGGG